rnacentral:rRNA from 1 species
CCUACGGGCGGCAGCAGUCGAGAAUCAUUCACAAUGGGGGAAAACCAGGAGGGUGCGAGGCCGCGUGGGGGAAGGAAGGUCGUAGGAUUGGAAACCCCUGUCAUGUGGGAGCAAAUUAAAAAGAUAGUACCACAAGAGGAAGAGACGGCUAACUCUGUGCCAGCAGCCGCGGUAAUACAGAGGUCUCAAGCGUUGUUCGGAAUCACUGGGCGUAAAGCGUGCGUAGACUGUUUCGUAAGUCGUGUGUGAAAGGCGCGGGCUCAACCCGCGGACGGCACAUGAUACUGCGAGACUAGAGUAAUGGAGAGGGAACCGGAAUUCUCGGUGUAGCCGUGAAAUGCGUAGAUAUCGAGAGGAACACUCGUGGCGAAGGCGGGUUCCUGGACAUUAACUGACGCUGAGGCACGAAGGCCAGGGGAGCGAAAGGGAUUAGAUACCCGGGUAGUC